GUCCACGCCGUAAACGAUGGGUACUAGGUGUUCGGGUAUUGACCCCUGAGUGCCGCAGCUAACGCAUUAAGUACCCCGCCUGGGGACUACGGCCGCAAGGCUAAAACUCAAAGGAAUUGACGGGGCCCGCACAAGCGGUGGAGCAUGUGGUUUAAUUCGACGCAACGCGAAGAACCUUACCUGGGCUAGACAACAUCGGACAACCCCAGAAAUGGGGCCUCCCCGCAAGGGGCCGGUGGUUCAGGUGCUGCAUGGCUGUCGU
rnacentral:rRNA from 1 species